UGGUGGGGUGACUUGUCUGGUUGAUUCCGUUAACGAACGAGACCUUGACUUACUAAAUAGCUGGUGGAAGAUAGGGCGCUAAGGCUGCGAGUCUGUAUUUUCGGAAGGAUCAGUUCCCCGUGAAUAGUUGUGCUUCGCAGUUGCUUUUUUUCCAUAAAGCUUCUUAGAGGGACUAUUUGUGAUAAGCAAAUGGAAGUUCGAGGCAAAAACA
rnacentral:rRNA from 1 species